GGGUGGUUUCCCGAGUGGCCAAAGGGGGCAGACUGUAAAUCUGUUAGUUAAUCUUUCGGAGGUUCGAAUCCUCCACCACCCA
rnacentral:tRNA from 1 species